rnacentral:rRNA from 1 species
AGAGUUUGAUCCUGGCUCAGGAUGAACGCUAGCGGCAGGCUUAACACAUGCAAGUCGAGGGGCAUCGGGAGGGAAGCUUGCUUUCCUUGCCGGCGACCGGCGCACGGGUGAGUAACACGUAUGCAACCUGCCCUCUUCAGGGGGACAACCUUCCGAAAGGGAGGCUAAUCCCGCGUAUAUCGGUUUCGGGCAUCCGAGAUCGAGGAAAGAUUCAUCGGAAGAGGAUGGGCAUGCGGCGCAUUAGCUUGACGGCGGGGUAACGGCCCACCGUGGCGACGAUGCGUAGGGGUUCUGAGAGGAAGGUCCCCCACACUGGUACUGAGACACGGACCAGACUCCUACGGGAGGCAGCAGUGAGGAAUAUUGGUCAAUGGGAGGGAUCCUGAACCAGCCAAGCCGCGUGAGGGAAGACGGCCCUAUGGGUUGUAAACCUCUUUUGUCGGAGAACAAAACCCGGGACGUGUCCCGGACUGCGUGUAUCCGAAGAAAAAGCAUCGGCUAACUCCGUG